UACGUAGGGGGCAAGCGUUGUCCGGAUUUAUUGGGCGUAAAGAGCGUGUAGGCGGCCAGGUAGGUCUGGUGUGAAAACUCGAGGCUUAACCUCGAGAUGUCAUCGGAAACCAUCUGGCUAGAGUCCGGAAGAGGAGAGUGGAAUUCCCGGUGUAGCGGUGAAAUGCGCAGAUAUCGGGAAGAACACCCGUGGCGAAGGCGGCUCUCUGGGACGGUACUGACGCUGAGACGCGAAAGCGUGGGGAGCGAACAGG
rnacentral:rRNA from 1 species